rnacentral:rRNA from 1 species
GACGAACCGUCCGAACGUUAUUCGGAAUCACUGGGCUUAAAGGGUGCGUAGGCGGCGCGGAAAGUUGGGUGUGAAAGCCCUCGGCUUAACCGAGGAAUUGCGCUCAAAACUGCCGUGCUCGAGGGAGAUAGAGGAGAGCGGAACUUAGGGUGGAGCGGUGAAAUGCGUUGAUAUCCUAGGGAACACCGGUGGCGAAAGCGGCUCUCUGGAUCUCUUCUGACGCUGAGGCACGAAAGCUAGGGUAGCAAACGGG